rnacentral:rRNA from 1 species
GAUGAACGCUGGCGGCGUGCUUAACACAUGCAAGUCGAACGAUGAUGCCCAGCUUGCUGGGUGGACUAGUGGCGAACGGGUGAGUAACACGUGAGUAACCUGCCCUUGACUCUGGGAUAAGCCUGGGAAACUGGGUCUAAUACCGGAUACGACCAUCUGGCGCAUGUCAUGGUGGUGGAAAGUUUUUGUGGUUUUGGAUGGACUCGCGGCCUAUCAGCUUGUUGGUGGGGUAAUGGCCUAACAAGGCGACGACGGGCAGCCGGCCUGAGAGGGUAACCGGCGACACGGGUACUGAGACACGGCCCAGACUCCUACGGUGGACAGCAGUGGGGAAUAUUGCACAGUGGGCGCAAGCCUGAUGAGGCGACGCCGCGUUAGUAAUGACGUCCUUCGGGUUGAAAACCUCUUUCAGUAGAUAAGAAGCGAGAGUGACGGUACCGGCAGAAGAAGCGCCGGCUAACUACGUG